CGCCCCAUCGUCUAGCGGUCAGGAUGUCUGGUUCUCAACCAGAAGACGAGAGUUCAAUUCUCUCUGGGGUGAC
rnacentral:tRNA from 1 species